rnacentral:rRNA from 1 species
GACGAACCGUGCGAACGUUGUUCGGAAUCACUGGGCUUAAAGGGCGCGUAGGCGGGUCACCAAGUCCGGGGUGAAAUCCUCCAGCUUAACUGGAGAAUAGCCUUGGAUACUGGUGGUCUCGAGCGAGGUAGGGGCAGCUGGAACUUCCGGUGGAGCGGUGAAAUGCGUUGAUAUCGGAAGGAACGCCGGUGGCAAAAGCGAGCUGCUGGACCUCUUCUGACGCUGAGGCGCGAAAGCCAGGGGAGCAAACGGG